AGUACGACUGCCGUCUUAGGACUUGAUGAAGCCAGCCUUUCCUUCAGGAUAACGAUGUGGAACGGCAGAUCAUCCCGGGCUGCAAGCAGGCGUGCAGGAGGAGCAGGACACCGGAGCAAACUUGGCUCGAUGGACUGAGGCAGUAUGCGAAUUUAGGAGAAGAUGAGCUUACUUUCUCUUCAGAUUAUGUAUUUUACACCCUAUAAAGCUUUAGGAACAAAUAAGCAAUCAGCGGGAUAAAAUGACUGCACCAGCAGACAAGGAAGGCUGAAGCAGCAGCUGCUCGGGAGCCACCCGCACCCUUCUCAGCACAGGCAUGAACACACUCCUGUCUUACAAGCUCCAUUUUGGCUACAAGCACAGCCCUGUACUCCUUUCCUAGAAAGUAAGUACUCUUAUUCUUUCCACACAUAUUUACCUCUCAAGCUUUCUUAA
rnacentral:lncRNA from 1 species